UACAGAGGGGGCAAGCGUUGUUCGGAAUUACUGGGCGUAAAGGGCGCGUAGGCGGCUUGUCGCGUCGUUCGUGAAAACCCGGGGCUCAACUCCGGGCUUGCGGGCGAUACGGGCAGGCUAGAGUUCGGUAGGGGAGACUGGAAUUCCUGGUGUAGCGGUGGAAUGCGCAGAUAUCAGGAGGAACACCGGUGGCGAAGGCGGGUCUCUGGGCAGUAACUGACGCUGAGGAGCGAAAGCGUGGGGAGCGAACAGG
rnacentral:rRNA from 1 species